rnacentral:rRNA from 1 species
AACUGCAGUCGAGCGGUAACAGGUGUAGCAAUACAUGCUGACGAGCGGCGGACGGGUGAGUAACGCUUGGGAAUCUGCCUGUUAGUGGGGGACAACCCGGGGAAACUCGGGCUAAUACCGCAUACGCACUACGGUGGAAAGCCGGGGACCGCAAGGCCUGGYGCUAACAGAUGAGCCCAAGUCGGAUUAGCUAGUUGGUAGGGUAACGGCCUACCAAGGCGACGAUCCGUAACUGGUCUGAGAGGACGACCAGUCACACCGGAACUGAGACACGGUCCGGACUCCUACGGGAGGCAGCAGUGGGGAAUAUUGGACAAUGGGCGAAAGCCUGAUCCAGCGACGCCGCGUGGGUGAAGAAGGCCUGCGGGUUGUAAAGCCCUUUCGGUGGGGAAGAAAAGCCUCGAGCUAACACCUCGGGGUCUUGACGUAACCCAUAGAAGAAGCACCGGCUAACUCUGUGCCAGCAGCCGCGGUAAUACAGAGGGUGCGAGCGUUAAUCGGAAUUACUGGGCGUAAAGCGCGCGUAGGCGGCUUUGCAAGUCGGGUGUGAAAUCCCCAGGCUUAACCUGGGAACUGCAUUCGAGACUGCAUUGCUAGAGUAUGGGAGAGGGAAGUGGAAUUUCCGGUGUAGCGGUGAAAUGCGUAGAUAUCGGAAGGAACAUCAGUGGCGAAWGCGACUUCCUGGACCAAUACUGACGCUCAUGUGCGAAGCGUGGGAGCAACAGGAUUAGAUCCCUGGUAGUCACGCAUAACGAUGAGACUGAUGUCGGAGG